AAGUCGUAACAAGGUAACCGUAGGUGAACCUGCGGUUGGAUCAUUAUAGAAAUGAUUUUAUUAUUGAGGGGUCAAUCUUUGAAAAAGGGUUGAUCACUCUUUACCCCAAAACCAUGUGAAUUUGUUAUCUCUUAAAAGAAAAACAAUGUUAAAAAGUUGUUUUCCUUUUAAAAACUUAUUAAAACAUUUUUUAAACCUUUUUUUUUUAUAUAAAAAACAUAAAAAAAAAACAACUUUUGACAAUGGAUCUCUUGGCUCUC
rnacentral:misc_RNA from 1 species